CUACGGGAUGCAGCAGUGGGGAAUCUUAGACAAUGGGCGCAAGCCUGAUCUAGCCAUGCCGCGUGAGUGACGAAGGCCUUAGGGUCGUAAAGCUCUUUCGCUGGGGAAGAUAAUGACGGUACCCAGUAAAGAAACCCCGGCUAACUCCGUGCCAGCAGCCGCGGUAAUACGGAGGGGGUUAGCGUUGUUCGGAAUUACUGGGCGUAAAGCGCGCGUAGGCGGAUCAGAAAGUUGGGGGUGAAAUCCCGGGGCUCAACCCCGGAACUGCCUUCAAAACUCCUGGUCUUGAGUCCGAGAGAGGUGAGUGGAAUUCCGAGUGUAGAGGUGAAAUUCGUAGAUAUUCGGAGGAACACCAGUGGCGAAGGCGGCUCACUGGCUCGAUACUGACGCUGAGGUGCGAAAGCGUGGGGAGCAAACAGGAUUAGAUACCCGCGUAGUC
rnacentral:rRNA from 1 species